rnacentral:rRNA from 1 species
UGGAGGGAGGAAGGAGGUGAGGGAAUGCAGACGAUCGGAAAGGGCGAGACAAACAGAAAGUCUGAAGAAGAGUUAAGUGCUUCUUUGCUUAAGGACAAGCUGGGAUGGGGAGGGAAAGAAGAGUACCGAAGUUCGUGAUGUCGAACUGCCGAGAAAAGCUUCUAGAGAGAGGACAGCGGCCCGUACCGCAAACCGACACAGGUAGUCGAGGAGAGAAGCCUAAGGUGAGCGAGAGAACUCUCGUUAAGGAACUCGGCAAAAUGACCCCGUAACUUCGGGAGAAGGGGUGCCGAUCAUUCGAUCAGCCGCAGUGAAUAGGCCCAAGCGACCGGUUAUCCAAAACAAAGGUCUCCUCAAAAACGUAAGAUGAAGGAAAAGGGCUGAAGCCUGCCCGGGGCCGGGAGGUUAAGAGGAGUGCCUAAGGGAAGGCGAGGGACGGAUUUAAGCCCCAAUUAAACGCGGCCCGAAGCAUUACGGGCCCAAGGGAACGGAAAUCCUUUUCCGGGAAGGUCGCGCCCGCCACAAAAGCCG